GUGGCGAGGCCGGCUGGGCGGCUCGAACGCCUGGGUCCCCCUCCGCUCUCAGUUCGCAAGCGCGGAGGCCAGAUGCGAGAGCUCCCGCUGCGGAGACCUGGACGAGGGGGAGAAGUCAUCCCAGGAUUGGGGGUCCCCUGGAAGUGACGCUGACUCAGCCAGUGAGGAGCGGGCCUGUCUCCAACAGGCUGCAGAGCUGGGAGGAGACUUGGAGCCUCAUCCCGGAGAAAGGGCUGCCGGAGGAUGACCCGGACACCGUUGUGAAAGGUUGGCUGUACCGGGAGCCCCGCGGAGGAGGGGCGCGGCCCUGGCUGCCCCCGCGCCGAGCCUGGUUUGUGCUCACGCGGGACUCCCUGGAUCAGUUCAGCAGCAGCGGGAAAGGGGCGCGGCGUCUCGGGAGCCUCGUGCUCACCAGCCUGUGCUCGGUGACCGGCCCAGAGCGCAGGCGUAAGGAGACAGGUCUGUGGUCAGUGACUGUGUCUGGUCGGAAACACAGUGUCCGCCUCUGCUCCCCACGCCAGGCAGAGGCUGAGCGCUGGGGGGUGGCAUUGCGGGAAGUGAUCGCCUCCAAGGCACCCCUGGAGACCCCCACCCAGCUACUGCUCAGGGACAUACAG
rnacentral:sRNA from 1 species